UCAUUUGAUGAAGAAGAUUUGGUAUAUCCUAAAUGGUUUAGAUGAUGAUUAUGAACCUACUAUCUCCAGAUUGGUGACAAGGGUAGAACCUGUUAUCUUGUCGGAAUUAUACUCUAUACUGUUGAACUUUGAGA
rnacentral:snoRNA from 1 species